GAUUAUUUGGAAUAUCUGAAUUAAAAACAUCAGAAGGAUUUAAUGUUUUAAGAGAUCAAGCAAUAUCUCAAACAGAUGCACUUAUAGCAGAAGCUAUGAGUCAGAAUAGAAAACGAAAAAUGGUAGAAAUUUUUGAUGAUAUGUCUGAUACAUUGUGUAAAGUUGCAGAUUUAGCAGAGUUUAUUAGAAUUGCACAUCCACAAAAACAGUUUGUUCAGCUGCAGAAAAAACUUGUCUCUCUGUUAGUGGUAUUGUAGAGAAAUUAAAUACUCAUCGUGAACUAUAUAAUGCAUUGAAACACGUAAUAUAUAAUGAAGAUAUUCAAAAAACAUCUGUAGUAGA